AGAGGUAGACUGGCCGAUUAAAUAAACAAACGAGACAAGGGAGGGGAGGGGAAUAUAGGAAAUUCCUCUUCGCUCUUUUCCUGUUCUUGGCAUCUUGCGCUGCGCAGCGUUAGCGACACCACCGGGAGCUGUGCGCAUAUUUUCUAUCCGUGUAAGGAGCACCGGAGGCGGAGGCUUUUGAGCAGAUCGACAGGCAGUGCGGGCUUCCCCGUCUAAUAUGAAAGCGUUUUUAUCCUGAUGCACCGAUGCGGGAGGAGCUGCGACUCAUGGGGUGCUGAUUUGCGUUUGGCAUUUUUACAAACUCGGAUGUGUUUUUGCACGAUCCGGGAGGCCUCGCUUACACGGCAUCUUUCUGCAGCUCUGUUUUUUUUUUUUUUUUUUUUUUAAAUAACUGCUGCAGGCUGAGAAACGAGCUUUCAGUCCCCGCUGAGUGUUACAUAACCGAGUGGCUUUAGCUGUCCAAGGUGCUGAACUGAGCGGUCGAACCUCAAAACGGGGGGACGAGCUGUGGGGAAUACACAACCUUGUAAGGUCAAAGGCCUGGAAAGCACUGGAUCCCACCUCGGAGAACAGAAGUGGAAGACUGGUGAAGAUUGGUUAUAUUGCUCACAUUUCUUUUUACUCCACGCCAUCCCUCGGGGAGAAAUUAGUUUCUGCGGUGGUUGAUUGAGCGGAGAGGGAAAAUGUCGGGGCAGACGCUCACGGAUCGCAUUGCCGCUGCGCAGUACCAGCUAACGGGAUCGGAUAUGGCCCGGGCUGUCUGCAAAGCCACCACUCACGAAGUGAUGGCGCCCAAGAAGAAGCACCUGGAAUACCUAGUGUCGGCCACCAACACCACCAAUGUAAACAUCCCUCAGAUGGCUGACACGCUGUUUGAGCGAUCCACCAACGCCAGCUGGGUGGUCGUCUUCAAGGCUCUAGUCACCACUCAUCACAUAUGCGUCCAUGGCAACGAGAGGUUCAUUCAGUAUUUGGCUUCCAGGACCUCCUUGUUCAACCUCAGUAAUUUCAUUGACAAAACUGGCUCUCAUGGCUAUGACAUGUCUACAUUCAUCAGGCGGUAUGCACGAUACCUGAAUGAGAAAGCCUUCGCCUACCGCCAAAUGGCUUUUGACUUCACCAGGGUGAAGAAAGGUGCCGAGGGAGUGAUGAGAACCAUGACCACCGAGAAGCUGCUGAAAGGCAUGCCUGUUCUGCAGACUCAGAUCGACACACUCUUGGAGUUUGACGUUCAUCCGAAGGAGCUGAACAAUGGGAUCAUCAAUGCUGCCUUCAUGCUUCUCUUCAAAGAUCUGGUGAAGCUGUUUGCAUCCUAUAACGAUGGAAUCAUCAACCUGUUAGAAAAGUUCUUCAAGAUGAAAAAAAGUGAUUGUAAGGAGGCCUUGGAGAUUUAUAAGAGGUUCCUGACCAGGGUGACGAAAAUUGGGGAGUUCAUGAAGUUGGCUGAGACAGUCGGAGUGGACAAAAAUGACAUUCCUGACAUCAACUAUGCUCCCAGCAGUAUCCUGGAGUCUCUGGAAACACACAUGAACGGUCUGGAGGACGUCAAAGGUGGAAAGAAAGGUGAAGGGUCUCCAACAAAGGGGUCUCCAACAAACAACGUGUCUCCAACAUCGACUCCAGCCAAAUCUUCAAAUGCCGUUCCUACGCUGCAGCCGCCUCCUGGGGACGGAGCCGCUGCCGCCGCUGCUCCUGAGCCAGCUGAAGAUUCUUUGUUGGACUUGGAUCCUCUGUCCUCCACUGGUCCCACAGCGGCAUCAGCUGCACCGACAUCUUGGGGAGACCUGCUUGGAUCAGAAAUGGGCGAUUCCUUGCUAUCUGAACCCCCACUCGCCGCAGAGGCCGCCCCCUCCCCUGCAGCAGCAGCGCCCACUCCUGCAGCGGCAGAACCUGGCGUCUCUCUAGCUCCUCCCACUAGCACAGCAGCCGCCACUUCCCCUGGUGCCGCCAAUAUGGAUCUGUUGGGAGACGCCUUUGCUGCUGCACCUGCUGCUUCCUCUGAGGCCACUGCUGCAGCAGCAGAGGGUGGGGCUGCUGCUUCGUCCACCCCAGCCACCAACUCUGGAGCUGAACCUACAGGAGGGGAUGCCCCAGCUGCUGCUGCUGCUGCUGCACCAGCUGCUGCUGCUGCUGCUCCUGCUGCAACUGCUGCUGCAGCUCCAGGUUCUGAGCUCAUGUCAGUAUUUGAUGGGCUAGGCGACAUAAUGAAGCCCACUGUGACCCCUCAAGCAGGUGAUGUUGACACCUCCAUGGCUAACAUGGCAAGUAACCUCACAAUGGGAACUGCAGCGGCUCCUCAGGUAGCUCCCCCUUGUUGGGGUGCACCCAUGGCACCAGUUGCCGGAGCACCAAUGAUGCCCAUGGCCAGGCCAGGCUUCCCUGCUGCAGGAGUAACCCCGGGGGCACCGAUGUCUCCUGGAAUGGCCCAAAGCCCCAGAAAGCCCCCACCACCCAGGAAUGCUCUGGAUGACCUGAAUAUCAAGGACUUUAUGUAGACUGCCUGACCCAUUAACCCCAAAAUCAUGUUUCAUGCAGCAGAUCAGGCCAGGACUCAGGGUUAUUUGGGGUUUGUCAUUGUGUCUGGAGAUCUGUGAAUAUGGAUGUCUGCAACCCCGUCACCCCUCCAGUCCCUUCUUCAGCCAGCCAGCCAGCCAUCAUCUCUUUGGUCUUUUCCUUCUAACCCCCCACCAGCCUUGACUCUUGUAACAAACUCUCCCCUCCUAACUAAUGUUGUAGCACAACUGUGAAUAUGAACCCUAGAUACAGAAAACCAGAGUUAUGUUUCAAUGUGUGUGAGUGUGUGUGUAUUUCAGUGUUAACCUUUACUUAAUAUACUAUGGAAAAAUAAAUGACCAAAAAAAACCCCCAAAAAAAUCAAUAAAUGUGUAUUUAGAAUCAUUCAGCAUAUCAGCUGACUUGGAAUGGUGGAAAUAUGUUGGUUUCUUUUUGCAUCAACCAGACAAGGACUGUGUUUAAAGUUAAAUGUGGACUGUGUUCAGUGUAGCUUCACUCGCCAAUCCCCAAGUCACUCUCCUCUGCCCCUGAUGUCCAAACCAGUACUGAGCGAUGUUUUAUGUCAUUAUUAACUUGCUUGUACCCAUAUUAGCUUGGGAUUCAUCCUCCCACCUGUCAACCUCACGACACAAAAGCACCAUAACUGAACUUGCACUGUUCAUCCGGACUUAUAAUUGAGCACAUCUGCUUUCUGUUUUACAUUCAGUUUCCUUCAUUUUGACAUUGUGUGAAACAUGCAAAAAAAAUAAAUAAAACAAUUGUGAACUGUUCGAAUUGA